CGAAGGAGCAAUCCGCUGAAAGAUGGGCUCGCGUCCGAUUAGGUAGUUGGCGGGGCAACGGCCCACCAAGCCGACGAUCGGUAGCCGGACUGAGAGGUUGAACGGCCACAUUGGGACUGAGACACGGCCCAGACUCCUACGGGAGGCAGCAGUGAGGGAUAUUGGUCAAUGGGGGAAACCCUGAACCAGCAACGCCGCGUGAGGGAAGACGGUUUUCGGAUUGUAAACCUCUGUCCUCUGUGAAGAUGAUGACGGUAGCAGAGGAGGAAGCUCCGGCUAACUACGUGCCAGCAGCCGCGGUAAUACGUAGGGAGCAAGCGUUGUCCGGAUUUACUGGGUGUAAAGGGUGCGUAGGCGGCUUUGCAAGUCAGAAGUGAAAUCCACGGGCUUAGCCCAUGAACUGCUUUUGAAACUGCAGAGCUUGAGUGGAGUAGAGGUAGGCGGAAUUCCCGGUGUAGCGGUGAAAUGCGUAGAGAUCGGGAGGAACACCAGUGGCGAAGGCGGCCUGCUGGGCUCUAACUGACGCUGAGGCACGAAAGCGUGGGUAGCAAACAGGAUUAGAUACCCUGGUAGUCCACGCUGUAAACGAUGAUUACUAGGUGUGGGUGGACUGACCCCAUCC
rnacentral:rRNA from 1 species